rnacentral:tRNA from 1 species
CUAUAGAGGCCUACCACUUCUUAUUUACC